rnacentral:sRNA from 1 species
GCUGGGUGUGGUGGUGCAGGCCUGUAAUCCCAGCAGCUCUGGAGGCUGAGGCAAGAGGAUCACAAGUUCAAGGCCAGCCUCAGCAAUUUAGUGAGGCCCUGUCUUAA